rnacentral:lncRNA from 1 species
UUUCAUUUGCUUCAGUUCAGCAUUGUUUUCAAAUAGUUCCACUUUGUAAUGGUGUGUUAUAAUACUCAUAAUAAUAAUAUAAGCAAACAGGUUUACAUGGCACUCGAAUGUGUACUGGUCUUUUCAACGAGUAUGUAAAGGUAAGUUUAUACUUCAAAAAGGUCUGUUUUUAACCUGACAACUUGUGACAAGCAUGCUUUGCAAAAUGAACUAAAACUCAAUCUUUAUGACCUUUCAAUGAAAUUUCAAACGACAACUAGCUGUUACUACUGUAUGUAUCUUUUGAUGUUUGGGUUCCAGUGAUACUAUAGAAUUGAUGAGAAUUUUUUAUUAUGUAAUAUUUUAUUUGUUGAAAGAGAUUCUAAGAUUAAGGACUUUGUGGAAACUGCAUGCCGGUUUCUUCCUUGUGAGGACUUUGAGCGAAACUGUUUCUUUACUUUUGAGUUAGCAAAAUAUACCCAAAAUGUAUCUCCUGUUUUUCAUUAUGCAAAACCAUAAGCUUUUUCCAAUUGAAAAGUUUGGUUUUAACCAAUACAAAUAAAAGUGCAAAAAAUAAGAAAAUAUUUUAUGAACAAUUGAAAGUUUUGGUUCAACCCUAUUUUGUGUGUUUCUGUACAUGGUCGCUACAUGUUUUCCAUCAAAAAUAUUUCCUGAAGUGUUUUUGCCGUAAGUGAAAUUUAGGAGAUGUUUGUUUCUAAGAUAAUGGAUUAAUGUGUAUCAUUUUAAUGUAUUUAUUGAGGAUGAGAAAUAUACCAUUUUCCUAAGCAAAGCAAAUUGAAACUGAAUUUUUGUUAGAAAAAUCAAUCAGAAUUGGAGAAAUAACUUUUUUUAAUUUGUUGAACUGCAUUUUCAUCACUUGAAUUAGUAUUAACAUUAUAUACAAACAAUUCGAAGUUGUCAGGUUAAAAACUAGAUAUAUGGCUCCCAAAGACAACAGAAUAAUUUCAAAUUCUUAAAUAUUUCUUGAUUUGGACAAUGAAAGAAAUAUUCUUCUAAAUGUUCAAUUGAGUAUGGAGCCAAUGAUAUAGUCGUAAAUGUUUCGAUGUUAAAAAUUUUAUUUCCGAGUUUAAUGAAGUAUGCUGUCAAUGCAUUGUCAAAAUGUUAAAUAAUUUGCUUCAAGCAAUGCCAAUGGAAUAUUUGUUGUCAAGCACAAUUUCUUGCCAGCCACUUGACAACUGAUCUCGCAUUACAACGAAUGGACUUCACUUAGCAUCUAAACAUCACGAUAAAAUCAUUAUUUUCCAUACUCAAGCGAAUAUUUUGGUCUGUUUAGUGUUCACCAGAAAAAGUUAGUUUGUGUUAAAAAAAAAGCAUGUUCGAUUUAUACCUUUGUCUUUGAGCCAUAUAUUUUCCUUGUAAAACAACUUGGUGUUAGGCUUUUGAUUUCUCAGUGUAAAGUUUAUCAUUGGAGUUGUUUUACAAUAUUUAUUUUGAAGUAUAAACAUUUAUCUUGAAAAGACCAGGUUCUCUUGUUUCCUCAAGAAUUAACUUUUUUAAUGUUAAUUCGCGGGCAAACAAGUUUUUUAAUGUUGUGUUUUCACUUGUGCUUAUUCACUUGUGAUGAACACAAUGUUAAUUGUUCUCUUUGUGCCAUGUUCUGUUUUCUUCUAUUGUUAUUAUUUAAAUAAGUAUGCAGUGGUUGUUCUCUUUUUAUUGGUAUUCAAUUUGUAAUUACAAUUCUUUUCAAUAAAUUGUUCAUUAAUUAUACAAGAGACUCCUUUUUAAUUAAAAAUUCAAUUCCCAUGGGAAUUGAAAAAAACAACAAAAAAAAUUCCCCUACCCCGGCCGGCUCCCCAAGUGCUACCUCUACUUCAAGCAGAAGUACUUCUACUAUGCAGUAAAAGUACUUCUACUUAAAGUAGAGGUAGCACUCAGAGAGCCAGCCGGGGUAGCGGGGCAAAGAGAAGACCAACCUAGCAAAUGCUAAAUAAUGCAAAUUGCUUAGUCGAUCUUCUCUUGAGAGCAGCCACGCGCAUACCUAGCAAAUGUAAAACAACAAGCAUUAGUAACAAAUACUCGGCAUGCAAAUUUUGAAUCCCAUGGCCGAAAUGACAAGUGCCCCCCGCUGAUUCCUACCAACUGCCUACCUGCCUCAGUCCUAAGCUGUCUGCCUCAGUCCUAAGCUGUCUGCCUCGGUCCUAAGCUACCUGCAUUCCAUUCGUAACUUCCGCUUUUCUCACCAUCCCACAGACACUCACAACUGCCCAACCUGCCACCAGCCCAAAAUGCCCACCCUUAAAACUGAAGGAAUUAAAAUU